CCCUUAGAUGUUCUGGGCUGCACGCGCGCUACACUGACUGACUCAACGAGUGUACAACCUGCUUCGACAGAAGUGGGUAAUCUUUUGAAAUUCAGUCGUGAUGGGGCUAGAUUAUUGCAACUAUUAAUCUUCAACGAGGAAUGCCUAGUAAGCGCGAAUCAUCAGUUCGCGUUGAUUACGUCCCUGCCCUUUGUACACACCGUCCGUCGCUCCUACCGAUUGAAUGGUCCGGUGAAGUGGUCGGAUCGGUGGCGCCCGCGCGGUCGCGUGGGAAGCCCCGAGAAGUCCAGUGAGCCUUGCCAUCUAGAGGAAGGAGAAGUCGUAACA
rnacentral:rRNA from 1 species